AAGAUAUUAGUAAAAAAAAUUACAUAACUUUGUCAAAGUUAAUUUAUAGGUUAAAAUCCUUUAUAUCUUC
rnacentral:tRNA from 1 species